CAUCGACUUCCUGCUAUACUCGCAGGCCAAAAAGAGUGCUCCACUGGCAGGGAAUGCUCGAAUCAUAGUAGGUGUCACUCCAGAAUAUAAGGCCAUUACUCCUAGAAGACAAAAGGGCAAUCAAAGACUGCAGCAGUCCCUCUUCUGGGGACACCCGCGCAGCUGCAUAGCACAGGUAUAUUUACACAGGCAAAGCCAGACAAGAGCGCUAAAACCAGCAAGUCCUGGAAGGACGCAUCCCCAGCUUUCCCUAAAGAGACCAACAGAAACAAAGACAAGUACCAGGUCUCCUGGCGAAACUGACUGAUGCUCAGGUAACACCCCCCAAUUCCGUGCUUGGUUAACUCUUAGGAUGCAGAUGGGGCAGAGCUGAGGCCUGAGACGGCCAGACAGAGGCAACCAUGGAGAGAGGGGGCCGCAGCUCUGCAGCUUCACCUGGGCAGUGGCAAGAGCACCAACCUUGAGGCUGGAGACUGGUUUAUAGUAUUAGUAUUGCCCAGGGUGGUUAUGAAGAUUGAAUUAGAUAAGGAAGGAAGGUAUAAGUACCUUGUAGAACUUUACAUGUUACGCAAAUUUAAGGGAGGAUUACUAUGAGUAACAGAUAAGGUGUCUAUGCUCUAUUUGGGACACGAAGUUUCUGUGUUACUGUUCUCUUUCUUUUUACAAUCAAAACAGAGAAGUUCUUAUCUCAGAUUUUAAGAUGUAUAUGGAUGCUGGAAACACAGGUGUUUACUCACCUUCAUUUUUCACAACAUUUAUAAAGGUUCUGAUAAAUCCUACCUGUUUUCCAGACAUGGAAAGAGCUUGAACUCUGGAUUUGAUACAAUCCACUGAGUUUGCCGCAAGCCACAGGCAAAUCCCGCCAACUCCACCGCUUAACAUCACAGGGACAGGGCCUAGAGAAAAAAAAAAUAGCAAAUGGUAUUUUGUCUCGAGAGCAGCUGAUGUGACAUUUCCAGAGGUCAAUGCAGUAAUGGCUGCAGGAAUCUGGAACCUUUCCUGGGGGCAAAAGUAAACCAAUGACAAAGUAAAUGACUGGAGAUUUAAAAUGUCACCUGUCAUGUGGCUGCCUUUGAACUGGAGUAGCCUGAGUGUUACUAGAUGAGCCUGGAGUCUGUCUCUUGGCCUUAAAUCACCACCAUAAACCCAGGAAGUCGAUGAUUCCUUUGUUUUCUGAGAACAGUUUCAGUCUGCUGGCUGGCAGGUCCAUAGGGAUGGCAGAAGUGAAGAAAAUGUAGAGCCAGAGGAAAAAAGAUACACAGACUUCUUGAGAUUUCUCUGAAGCUAUGGAACAUGAUGAAUUAACGACGGGUUAAGUAUACUUUUCAUUAUAAAUGUUAAUGCUUUCACAUCUUUCAUUAGUGGUAUGUAUGAAAAAUAUUUAACAUAUUAUCUAUAAACCAAACAAUAGAAAGGGAUGCCAUUUACUAUUUAUAGUUUAUUUCAGAAAUCAAUGAAUUUAAUUAAAUUAAUAAACAUUGGUAACAUACCUUUUUGUAUCUCUGUAGUUGUACUGUCUUGCAACUCCUGCUGCAUCUGUAAUAUGUAAAAUAUUAUUUGUAAUGUUUAAGUUAAACAAAAGACAUUAUUUUGAGAAUGAUACAUCAUUUAUUAAGUCUUUCAUAUAAAAAUUUCAGAGGCUAGAUCGAACUUGAGAAUUGCUUAAAUUAAAAAAACUCCAUAAAUAAAAUUCCUUAUUUUAAGUUUAGAUAAUA